CUGCUGCCUUCCGUAGGAGUUUGGGCCGUGUCUCAGUCCCAAUGUGGCCGUUCACCCUCUCAGGCCGGCUACUGAUCGUCGCCUUGGUGGGCCGUUACCCCGCCAACCAGCUAAUCAGACGCGGGUCCAUCUUGCACCACCGGAGUUUUUCACACCGAGCCAUGCGGCUCUGUGCGCUUAUGCGGUAUUAGCACCUAUUUCUAAGUGUUAUCCCCCGGUGCAAGGCAGGUUCCCCACGCGUUACUCACCCGUCCGCCACUAAG
rnacentral:rRNA from 1 species